rnacentral:rRNA from 1 species
CCUACGGGAGGCAGCAGUGGGGAAUAUUGCACAAUGGGGGAAACCCUGAUGCAGCGACGCCGCGUGAGUGAAGAAGUAAUUCGGUAUGUAGAGCUCUAUCAGCAGGGAAGAAAAUGACGGUACCUGAGUAAGAAGCCCCGGCUAACUACGUGCCAGCAGCCGCGGUAAUACGUAGGGGGCAAGCGUUAUCCGGAUUUACUGGGUGUAAAGGGAGCGUAGACGGCAGUGCAAGUCUGGAGUGAAAGGCGGGGGCUCAACCCCCGGACUGCUCUGGAAACUGUACGGCUGGAGUGCAGGAGAGGUAAGUGGAAUUCCUAGUGUAGCGGUGAAAUGCGUAGAUAUUAGGAGGAACACCAGUGGCGAAGGUGGCUUACUGGACUGUAACUGACGUUGAGGCUCGAAAGCGUGGGGAGCAAACAGGAUUAGAUACCCGUGUAGUC